GCAAUACAAAACACCUUCAAAGGAUGAGUAAUUACUCAGCUGCGAAAGGUGUAGAAGAAAAAGUCAAAAUCCCGUAUGGAACACAGAGAUCAUAGUGCUGUUGUCCAAGUAGUUGAGUACAGAUAAGGACACCAAGCUUUUGCUGCAACUUAAUCAGUAUAAUGCCUAGCAGAGAUUGAGGAUUUCCCAGGAUGUCCUGCUUCAGUUCCUUUCAACAUUAUAUUAGGUAUCUGCAAUCCUAGGCUUUACCAGUUUAAGAUUCAUAAAUUAUUGACUGGCCUUCUAUGUGCAAUCAAUCAUCAUAUAGUCAUCAAUAACAUUUAAGUUAUUUUAUGCAGAAAAAUAGGAAAUUUAGGGUGAAUGAGUUGAUACUUGAUAGAUUAUGGAAUGAUUUUAAAACAAGGCACUAAAGUUGGAAUUAUAAAUAAUGCCAAGAGUAAUUCAAGUGGUAAGACUUACAGGAUACCAACCACUACCACUACCAGAUAAUGGUGAAUUGAUGAUUUUAAGAUUGAUGAUACUAUCAGAGAAAUUAGCAUGGGCUAAAAUUAACAUGAAUUUUAUUAGUUACUCUACUUAUUAAGGCAUAAUGAUGCAACUAACUUGAAGACAUCAAAUAUGAAUUCCUUUCUCCAAAUUAAUUCACGGCAGUUGGUGUUGGCUACAAGGGAAGAGGGUGGGGGGAAUUGCCAGUACUGUUUUCUGUGUGAUGCUGCAGCCUGCAGGUGACCAUACUUAUCAGCAUUCACACAAAGCAGAUGUCAACUUAAACAAAUUGCUUCAUCCAGGUAAAAACUUGAUGGGACAAACUCUAAAAGAGACCAGCAACUUGCAUCUGUUCAACACUAUACAUGUUCUUUGGAUUGCAGAUGUGUUCCCUUGAUAUUCUAACAGAGUUUUAAAGAUUACUAACAUUGAACUACACAUACAUUUCCAAACUAAUUUCCCGGUUAUUUUUAAAUUCUGAUAUAUCUAAGAUAGUUUUGGUUCCAAAUAGAACAAAAUCUCUUUCUUCUAUGCUUUUAUUUUUGCCUCUUCCUAACUACCCACCAGGCCAACAAAAAUAAAAGCAAACAAGCAUUGCUUCUUAACCAUUCAAAGUCUAAAUUUGAGUGACUGCCUGUGGGGCGCACCUCUGCACCACUCAAAAUGGGAAUACACAAAAGAAAUUUAUAGCUCAGGAAAAUGGAGUUAUCAAACAACCAAUAAAAGAGGCAUUGAAUAUCCAAACGAUCAUCCAAUUAAACUGGUCAGGUGACAAAAAAGAACCAAACCCUUGUAAACAGCUAUAUUGGAACCCAGGAAGAGGAUAAAU
rnacentral:misc_RNA from 1 species